UGGGAGGCAGUGGCGGGGAAGAGACAGAAAUCUUCAAUAAAUAAAUAAAUAAAAGAUAAAAAAUAAAUAAAUAAUGGCAACAAUAUGGAAAUGAACAAGGCACCAAGAUAUUACGUGGAAGGAAAAAAAAAAUCCCUAACACAGUGUUUUACACAACUGGAGUAGCUAGAAGUCCAAAAGUCAGAUAGUAAGAGCUGGUGAGGGCAUGGGGAAACAGGAACCUUCAUGUGCUGCCAAAAAACUGUCGGCUCAGUGGGCAACGACUCUGCUCACCAAGGCUGAUGACUCCCUGGACCCACACAGUGAGAACAACAAAAGAGUCCAUUCCAACCCUCUGACCUUCACAUACACACACACACACACACACACACACACACACACCCUUCCCCCUGGACCCACACAGUGAAAACAAAAACAAAAACAAAAAAAAAGAACAGUCCGUUCCAACCCACCUGACCUUUACACACACACACACACACACACCCACACCUCCCCCAGUAAAUAAACAUAAAAACUAAACAAAAUUCUAAAAAGUGUUGAACUGUGUGCUUAGCCUGGCUGCACGUGAGGUGUGAAUGCUGAAAUACAGAUGUAAAGUGGUCGUCAUGCGCAUCACUCACUUGACUAUUACUGAGUAUGCAGGGAAGUGAGGGGUUAAAAUUAAGAGGCCCACAAGUCUUGCUUGCUCUGGGUGGGAAUUAAGAGCUCAGACCAGCAGGUGGCAGUGCUGAUCUGUUGGUGUCCUCAGCCCUGAAUCUAGACACAGCGGAUUCAACUAGAUCCUAAUAACAAGUAGGUAAAGAACCAGGUGGGAAACAACUGUGUUUGCCUUCCAAAGACUUAAAAGGAAAACAAACAACUACUCGGAGUACCAAGGAAAACUCACGCUAGCUCUUUGGAACUGCCAAGCGCUAAAAUCUUUCCCCCUCAGUUCUGGGGAUGGAGCAGGGUCUUGUACAAAUGUUAUACCUAAUCAAGCUGCAUCUCUAAUCUCAGACAGAAAAAUUCUUGGCAAGCCACUGUCUAGAUUGACAUUUGAAUUUUUCGCAUCCAGUUGUUAUUAUGAUAGUUUUAAAUUAAAAUACUUUUAUUAAUUCCUUGACAAUUUUAUGUGUUGAAAUCAUUUUCAGCCCCACUCCUGCCCCUAAUGCCUGGCAGUCCACCCCACCUCCCCCGAUUUUGUGUCUUUAAAAGCUAACUCAUGCAGUCCAAUUUGUGAUGCUCACACAACCUGGGUAUGAGAUCACACACUGAGCUUGGUACACCUACCAGGGGCCAAACCCUAAAGAAAAAAAAUGCCUCUACCCCAGAGGCCAUCAGCUGCCCAUAGUGCCUCAGUAGGAAUGGCACGAACCCCACUGCCCUCCAUAAAAAGGGAUAUUUUUAACAACAAAAGAGGUGGGACAUGGUGGCACAUGCCUUUAAUCCUGGCAUUUGGGAGUCAGAGGCCGGUGAAUCUCUAUGAAUUUAAGGCCAACUCACUCUACAUAGCAAGUUUCAGGUCAGCCAGGGCUUUGAAGUUAGACCAUCUCCAGACAGAGAAAAGAAAAAGGAGCUUGAGGGUAAAUUAAAAGGCCACAGGAAGAGAAGAACAGCACUCGAAUCUUUGGAUAUAAGACUGUCAGGGACCAGGUCUGUCACUGGAGACUAACUGGGCCCUGUGGCCCUGGUGGUAGGACAGAUAAAGGAACUGGUUCACUCUUCACUUCCUUCCCAUUUUGUUCCCCUCUCUUUCCCUUCCUUACAGAACUGGACAGAGUCUGCUGCUAAGCAUUUGGUUCCGGCCACCACGUAGACUUUGGGCAGUGAGCCUGUCUUCUCCACCUUGGAAGGGACCCUGUCAUGAUCUAUGCUCUCCUCCUCUUGUUCCUUGAGCACUGUUGGCUUUCUUGUGUUAUAGCCAUGCUGGACCUCAAACCCUUCUACUCUUGGCUUCUGUGGUUGCAGGAAGAAGAGCCAGGCGGCAGAAAAGGAGACUGGAUGUGGGGGUUCCAGGGCAGACGUCUGACCUCAGGCCUCCUCAGCUGACAUUCAGAACUAGCGUUCCUGCUUAUUACUGCUGGCGGUUGUAUAUUUGGAACAAAGGUUCCCAGUGUUCCGAUCUUAACUUCUCGUACUUUUAACUCUUCCCAGGACACCCCUGGCUGGGCCCUAAGGAACAGAUCACCAGAAUCUUAGCUUUUCCACAUGGCAAAGUUACAAGAACCACAAGUUUCUGUGUCACCCUGUUCUGACCAGCCAGCAUGACCCAGAAGCUACAGCUGAGGCCAAACUCAUUGCCAUAAUCCAAAGAGAAGCCUAUAUACUUCCAAAGAGUGGUGCUCACAAAGGGGCCCAGUUCGGAGGUCCUAAUCAGGCUUCUGGAAUGUUGGGUGGAGUCACAAGGAACCCAAAUCAUUACACACCUGCUGUUCAGAAUUGCUACCUGGAAUUCUUGCUCCAGGGUAGUCAGUGUGUGUGUUCAAAAGAUCCUGAACCACCUUGACCAGAGUCACAUUCACUAUGGACAAUCCAUUUACACCAUGAAUAGCAGCCAAAAGUAGGCUGUAAGCAGGGAGCUGGAAACAAACCUGCUACUGUAUUGGACGUCUUUGACUACACAGUAGAAAUGAUGGCAUUGCUGUCUCUGCAAUGAUGCCCGUUAUCCCUGGGGCCUUCUCUGCUGCUUCUCUUUCCUAUAAAAUCCUUAGUUUUCUUUAUAUAAACGGAAAAGCUGGGCAUGUAAUGGAAGAAUUCAGACUAGGGCUGAGACCACGAUACCAGCAGCAGCUCCUCCCCUACAGACACUGAGGGGCGGCCUAUUGGUCUGGGAAGCCCAAGCAAACAGACUUCCAGGUGCCAGGAUUUCUUACUUGGGGAAGUGAGUUUACAUCGGUUGGUGGCCACUUAUCCUGUUCCCCACCCAAUUCCUUGCUACCUGCUAGAGAAACAGAGGGCUUGGCUGCAGGAUCAUGGCGUAAUGUCCUCUGCCUACCACCGCUGUCUACUUGUCCAUCUGUUCAUGGCAUGCACAAUUCUUUAAAGAACCUUUUCAUUCCAACAGUCCUGCACGGUGUUGCACCUGAGCCUGCACCUGAGACCCUUCAGUUUCCUGUUAGCCUAUCAGGUUGUCUGUGGCACAGGAAAGAGUUCAGCGACAACGUCAAUUUAGGCACCAAAAAUGUUACUUACCGAGUCGCCUGGAGUCCUAAUGUCCCUGUUUGACAGAGGCUGCUCUGUCCUGUUUCUGCUUUGGAGAAUUUGUUAUGACAGAAAAAAGUGGAGUUUAUAGCCUGAUUUUUUCAUGGUGAUUGAUUUAGAACAAAAUAAAAAGGAAGAAAACAAAACCCUCAGGUUUUUCUGGAUUGCGUUAAUCCCAGGCAGACAGAGCACAGUCUAAGGGUUCCUGCAGAGGGGGGUGGCAGUGACCCACGGGGCAGCUAGGGUGUGGCCUCCUUCAGGGAGCAGCCCUCCUCCAAGACAAAGGCAGCCCUUCUGAGGAGCAAAGGUCCUCAGAACUUCCAACAAGUUGGCAAUCCUGAACCAAGGAUAUUUUUGAUGUCUUAUAUAAAUAUUUAGACCCCAAGAGAGACAACAGCUGUGUAAAACUUACUACUUAAGGGAAAUCAACUUGAACCCUUAGAUAUGCUCACACACACUAACUCAUCCCCUACUGCUAGGAAAGAUUCCUGCCCCUCUCAGCUCCUGAGCCUUGUCUGUGUGCUGUGACCGUGCGACAGUGCCUUUAAUACUCGUUCUGCUUCUGUCCUUGCCCCCUCCCUGCCACCUUCAGUAAAUCUAUCACUGCUCUGUCACUGUUGUCUGUGCACGGUGAAGCCCCAACAAGUGAGUUUCUGUACCACCUUCUACUGUGGUCGAAUCAGUCAGUUUGACUCAGUAGUUUGGCUUAGAUUCAUUCCCGUCGCUGAAGGCAAGGCCCACACACUGUUGACUCAUGAGCGGUGCUGACAAAGGAGAUCCAGUCUGGAGAAUCCUACGUAGCCUUCCAAGAAUGGUGGGUAGCGUUAUAGGGAGCCAGAAAUGACCAGGAACUGAGUGUGGAGGAGGACCUGAUGCCGAUUUCUGGGCUCCUUGUAGUUUCGGGCCAGCUGGCACAGGUAACUGAAUCAGGGACAAUUGUAUCUACCAGACUCCUCAGUACUGACAGGAGGGGAGACAUCACCCGCCGUUUGUGACCAGUGCUAGAGCAUCAGUUGUGACCACCACAUGGGACUAUUGGUGCCUUUUGAGUCUGAAAGCAGAAAAAGAUGAUCUUUCCUGAUGUCCAAAGCCAAGCUGGGAAUCAAGGGGAUUCAGAGAUCCUUCUGAUCCAGAUUACUCUAGAAACCCGAGGGGGCGUGGUAAGAUGAGGGCGGUAUCCCAUGUGUUUUAAAGGGAGUUAGAGAUUAAAACUCAUCAUUAAUGGUUUGGCAUGAGAUGGACUCCUCACGCUCUGUAUGUCUCCGUCUAACACCCCAUUUUUGCCAGUGAGAAAGUGUGAUGGUUCUUAAAGACCUUAGGGUAGUGAACCAAGAUAGUGCCCAGCCAACACUCCAUGUCAGCCAGCCCCUAAGUGCUCCUCGGUAAGAUUCCAUAUGAUUGCAGUUGCUUUGGUAUUGUUGACCUGAAAGAUGCCCUGGGGCUUUUCCUUUGGCUGAGGCCCUCUUCUCCUUGGAGUGGGAAGAUCCUCAGAUGGAGAGGAAACAGCAAUACUUUGUUGGAUGGAUUUUGUUUGGACAGAUAUUGGAAAAACUCUUUAAAACAACAGCGCUUUGGCAGAUCUCUGUGAGUUCAAGGUCAUUCUGCUCUACAUAGUGAGUUCUAGGCCAGCCAGGGCUACCGGAGAAGACCCUGUCUCAGAUGAAAUUAAACAGCAAUCAAUGAAACCAGAGAAGGUACAGAAUGUCCUCCCAGUGAACCCAAUUUAGUACGUGGGUGGCUUCUUGCUGUCAUUGACAUCCCAAGGGUAAUGAACACAGGGACAAAAGGACCUAAGAGUCUUCAAAGGAAAGUUACAUGACAAUUCAUUGAAAAUAAAGUCUAAUGUUUAGAACAUUUAAUUAGCAAGAGAAAAUGAAGAUUGGGCACUGACUGGACAGAGGGAAUAAUGACCUUGUCACUUCUUACUACAGAGAAAAAAAGUGUUGGGGAUGGUGUCUUAGGUGGGAGAGAUAUUUCAGAGACUAAGAGCACGGUAUGGCUCUUACAGAGGACCUGGGUUGGUUCUCGUCACACAUGCAGUGGUAUUGUUGACCUGAAAGAUGCCCAUCUAAUUGUGGGUGGUUCAUAAACACCUCCAUAAGUCUAGCUUCAGGGGACCCAAUGCCCUCUUCUGACCUCUUUGGGCACCAUCACAUGCAUGCAGGCAAAAUACUCAUACACAUAAAGUAAAAUAAAUCUAAAAGAUUUUUUCAAAAACUGACUUCAGAAAAAUUUUGGACUAACUGGAUACUGUAGACUAUGGAUUGACUCUUAUGCCUUUAAAAUCUAGGACCUUGAUCUCAAACAACUAGAAGAGCCAAUCCCCUUUUACCGUGCCUUAAUGAGGUCAAACUUGCCCUGAAGCUGAAGAAAUGCCUUUUUUCAGACCCAUACUAAAACUACCUUCACUUGAGAAAGAAACCCUUCCAUCUGUUUGUAAGCAUAAACAAAGGAACCGUCUUUGGAGUCUUAACUUGUGACCACAGAGCCAGAGACAACCAGCCACCUUCUUUUCUAAUCCCCGCGAUCCUGUACCUGCUGGAUGGCUUAAGUGUAGGCAAUCAGUAGCAAGACUUAAUUGAGAAAAUGUUUCCAUAACAUUAAUUAGUCUCUAGGGCUGGGCUGUGGUGGCAAUGCAUGCCUUUAAUCCCAGCACUCGGGAGGGGCAGAGGCUGGCGGAUCUCUGUGAGUUCGAGGCCACCCUGGUCUACAAGAGCUAGGUCCAGGACAGGCUCCAAAGCUAUAGAGAAACCAUGUCUCGAAAAAAAAGAAAGAAAGAGAGAGAGAGAGAGAGAGAGAGAGAGAGAGAGAGAGAGAGAGAAAAUUAGUCUGUAGGUAAGCUUGUAGGGUGUUUUUUGUUGUUAAUGAUUGAUGUGCCGGUGCCCAUCUAAUUGUGGGUGGUUCCACCUCUGGUUAGGUGGCACUGGGACAAGUAAGAAAACAAACGGAACAAGCCAGUAAGCUGCAGCCCUCUAAAUUCCUACCUCCUGCUCUUGCCUUGACUUGCAUGACUUUCAUUCACAGUGGACUACAAUGAUAAGAUGAAACAGACCCUGUCUCCCAAGUUGCUUUUGUUCACAGUCUUCAUUCCAGGAACAGAAAUGUAAGUGAAACAGUAAACUGGUCUGCUCAAGCUGUGGUUUGCUUAUUCUCCACCAAGCUCAAAUGGACAUAAAAGAAAAAGAAGAAACCAUCUAUACCAUGCCUUUGGAGAGGGGUGUAUACAUUCAGAAAAAUCUGGGCAGAACAGCGGCCUCAUUCACAACAAGGAACAAGACUUACUAUAUAAGGAAGUAAUAAAGAAACUGCAAGCCACACCCUCUAUCAAGACUGGGCGACUGGAAACUAACCCUGUGUCUCUUUAUUAUCCUAAAUGGUUUGCAAUAAUAACUUUCAAAGACUAGAAAUUUAUAUUGCAUUAUUAGCUGAGCCGUAUAGGUACAAUACUUUGAACAAGAGAAGAAGCAUAUGUACAGUGUGUUCUCACCAAAAUCACCUUGAAUUUGUAUCAGUAUACAAAAAUCCAUAGCAAUGCAAAGGAUUUAAAACUAGUAGUUGCUUUUUUGGUUUAAAGUAGGUUCAAUAAUCUACCUUUUAUUGAUCUCCCACCAAUGUAGUAAAAUACACACUAAGUGAACUUCUCAUCCUGGCAUGCUCACCCACUUGGACUGUUGUAUACACUUUUGCCAAAGUAAAUAUUGCCUGAGUUACUUUUAUUUUGUUUGUGUUUCCAUGUGUGACACUUGGAAUAAUCUUUUCCAACCACACGACCCAUGGAGCUACUUCUUGGGCUGCUUUUCCUGUUUAAAACCGGUUACUAGCUGUCUUCCGUAUCCUUAUUUUGUUUAUUUGUUUAGGUGGUUUGAGACAGUAGCUUACCAGACAGUCUAGAGUGGCCUGAAGCUCACCGUAUAACCGAGGCUGGUUUUGAAUUCCUCUUGUCUGAGCCUCCUGAGUCCUAGAAUUAUAUGUGUAAACUUCUCAUUUGGAAUUGAUUCAUUGUUCUUGGUGAUUCCUGCAUGUGGGUGCCAUUAUUUCAUUUUUCCUUAAAGAUUUCAGAUAUCCUUCUCUGUGCAUCUUGGCACAUCUACUGUGCAUGGACAUUAAUAUAAUUUUCUGCAUUCUGUUUCUUAUUAUUUGUCUUUCCUAUUUGGUGGCUCAGACAACAUACACUAAGUGUAGGACUUUGAUGGGUUGAGUUGGAGAACAAUUCAGAACCUGGUUUCUACGGCCAUCCCCCUGUCUUCCCAGUCUGGAGAUUCCUCUGGUCCUCCUUCCUUAAAAAUGCAAACAGGAGCCAGGUGGUGGUGGCGGGCAGCGCACGCCUUUAAUUCCAGCACUUGGAAGGCAAAGGCAGGUGGAUUUCUGUGAGUUUGAGGCCAGCCUGGUCUACAGAGCAAGUUCCAGUACAACCAGGGCUGCACACAAAGAAACUGUGUCUAGAAAAACAACAAUGAUAACAAAAAAUGCAGACAGGGGCUCUUAGUGAAGUCCUCUGCCUACCAAAGGAUAAGCAACUGUCUUAAAACCUACUAACCAAAGGAAAGGACAGGGCUGAAAAACAACCAGCCAGCCCAGAACUCAGGGGAACGUCACCCCAGGCCUUUCUGUGUGCUUCCCAGCUCUUUUCUUUUUCUAAACAACAUCUACUGCCUUAUGAUGCCUCUUAAGUCCUCCCUGUCCCUUACACAGACAGACAGACAGACACACAGAGACACACACACACUAUGUAGGAGUCAACCUACUGACCUUUUCUCUGGCUUUUGUGUCUGGCUGGCUCUGUAUACAUUAAUAACUGUGCUAAGUGUUUCUUUUGUCAGUCUGCCUUUUGUGGUCGGGUACCAUUCAGGCCUCUGAUAUUGUACUGGGAGGACCAGGCCACUUUUCUUUCCCACCUCAUCUUUCCACUCACCAGAAUUUCACCUUGUGCACUCCAGUCCACAGUCAGAGGGUUUAUUCUACUUUUCCGUAACUGUUCUGUUGAGAAGCUCUGUGGUAGGCUCCUCCUGAUUUUAGGUGUUCAGUUCAGGCUCAGGAUUCAUGUUGGUGGCCCGAGUCCCAAACAAUGUACCCAGGGGGCUGGAGCUCAUGGGGUGCUACAUGCAAUGGAACUCUAAGCCCUAGAGAAGUUAUGUGUAGCUUGUGUGCAAGAGGCUAGGUAGGUGGUGGUCUGUUUCAUCUUCCUGUUUCAGGACAGACAGAAAGAGGCCCUUCUCCUUCAUACUGCGACUUCUUCAGACUCAGCCCAGCCAAGCAGCAGCUUUGCGGUUCAGCAGUAACCCGAGCUUGUUUUUGACUAACAUGGACAAACUCAUGGAAUAGGAACGAGAAGUCCAACCUCAGGGAGUAUACUCAGCCCACGAGAAAGAAGAGUGUUGUAGUCAACAGAGCUGAGCAGAGUUGGAGACGUGAAGAGCAUUUCGACAUCAGACAUGGAGAUGCAGUUUGGAGUUUGCCCGGCUGGUUUCUGGUCUUGCUUUGGUCCAGUGUUUUCUCGCUUUGUUCCCGUCCUGAGUUUUGGAAUGGUAAUGUAUAUCCUGUGUCAUUAUAUGUUGGAAGUAUGUGAUCUGCUUUUUGAUUUUCAUUUUUACACGUGAUUACAGUUAAGAGAGUGCAUGAAUCUCAGAAGACACUUUGAACUUUGGACUUUAAAGCAUUGUUGAGAUUGUGAUGGACUAAGAGGACUUUUGAAGUUGGACUACAUGCAUUUUGCCUUAUGAUAUUGUUACACAGUUAUGGGGGCCAGGGAAUGGGAUGUGGUAGUUUGAAUGUAAUUGGCCUCCUUAAUCUCAUAGAGAGUGGCACUAUUAGGAGGUAUGGCUUUGUUGGAAUGAGUAUGACCUUGUUAGAGGAAGUGUGUCACUGUGGGGAUGGUCUUUGAGGUUUCCUAUGCUCAGGAUACUCCCAGUGUCUCAAUUGACUUCCCGUUUCCCCGCAAGAUGUAGGACUCUCAACAACUUUGCCAGCACCAUGUCUGCCUGCACAUGCCGCGGACUGACUCUCUUGGAGAUCGAAGACCGAAGGAGAACAGGGGUGAAGGUUUAGGAGAACCCAGGAUUCUAAUGAGAUUUGAAUCUGCUGCAACUUUACUAAAAUUCAAGCAUCACUUUUAGGAGAUUACAGAAGGAAGUUGGCAGACAUAAAAGUUUCCAUAGAAAAAUGAUUACAGACAAUUGAUUAUUCUCAGCAAGUCUUGUGGUCAGGGCCAGGUGGGCAGAGCUUUUCUUUGAAAUUCAUCUCACACCAUUAACUAACUGUGCUUUCUCAUGGCCCUAAAUCAUAUCUGCCCUCAAGGUAACCAAGGUAACCCAAACACCAUUCUUCA